rnacentral:rRNA from 1 species
GGUUAAUAUUCCUGUACUUGGUGUUACUGCGAAGGGGGGACGGAGAAGGCUAUGUUGGCCGGGCGACGGUUGUCCCGGUUUAAGCGUGUAGGCUGGUUUUCCAGGCAAAUCCGGAAAAUCAAGGCUGAGGCGUGAUGACGAGGCACUACGGUGCUGAAGCAACAAAUGCCCUGCUUCCAGGAAAAGCCUCUAAGCAUCAGGUAACAUCAAAUCGUACCCCAAACCGACACAGGUGGUCAGGUAGAGAAUACCAAGGCGCUUGAGAGAACUCGGGUGAAGGAACUAGGCAAAAUGGUGCCGUAACUUCGGGAGAAGGCACGCUGAUAUGUAGGUGAGGUCCCUCGCGGAUGGAGCUGAAAUCAGUCGAAGAUACCAGCUGGCUGCAACUGUUUAUUAAAAACACAGCACUGUGCAAACACGAAAGUGGACGUAUACGGUGUGACGCCUGCCCGGUGCCGGAAGGUUAAUUGAUGGGGUUAGCGCAAGCGAAGCUCUUGAUCGAAGCCCCGGUAAACGGCGGCCGUAACGAUAACGGUCCUAAGGUAGCGGAAUUCCUUGUCGGGUAAGUUCCGACCUGCACGAAUGGCGUAAUGAUGGCCAGGCUGUCUCCACCCGAGACUCAGUGAAAUUGAACUCGCUGUGAAGAUGCAGUGUACCCGCGGCAAGACGGAAAGACCCCGUGAACCUUUACUAUAGCUUGACACUGAACAUUGAGCCUUGAUGUGUAGGAUAGGUGGGAGGCUUUGAAGUGUGGACGCCAGUCUGCAUGGAGCCGACCUUGAAAUACCACCCUUUAAUGUUUGAUGUUCUAACGUUGACCCGUAAUCCGGGUUGCGGACAGUGUCUGGUGGGUAGUUUGACUGGGGCGGUCUCCUCCUAAAGAGUAACGGAGGAGCACGAAGGUUGGCUAAUCCUGGUCGGACAUCAGGAGGUUAGUGCAAUGGCAUAAGCCAGCUUGACUGCGAGCGUGACGGCGCGAGCAGGUGCGAAAGCAGGUCAUAGUGAUCCGGUGGUUCUGAAUGGAAGGGCCAUCGCUCAACGGAUAAAAGGUACUCCGGGGAUAACAGGCUGAUACCGCCCAAGAGUUCAUAUCGACAGCGGUGUUUGGCACCUCGAUGUCGGCUCAUCACAUCCUGGGGCUGAAGCAGGUCCCAAGGGUAUGGCUGUUCGCCAUUUAAAGUGGUACGCGAGCUGGGUUUAGAACGUCGUGAGACAGUUCGGUCCCUAUCUGCCGUGGGCGUUGGAGAACUGAGGGGGGCUGCUCCUAGUACGAGAGGACCGGAGUGGACGCAUCACUGGUGUUCGGGUUGUCAUGCCAAUGGCACUGCCCGGUAGCUAAAUGCGGAAGAGAUAAGUGCUGAAAGCAUCUAAGCACGAAACUUGCCCCGAGAUGAGUUCUCCCUGACUCCUUGAGAGUCCUGAAGGAACGUUGAAGACGACGACGUUGAUAGGCCGGGUGUGUAAGCGCAGCGAUGCGUUGAGCUAACCGGUACUAAUGAACCGUGAGGCUUAACCG